rnacentral:misc_RNA from 1 species
CAGAGUUGCAAAACUCCCAACCAUUGUGAACCUACCUACAGUUGCUUCGGCAAGCGGCUUCGUGAGGAGCUCAGCAUCCUUCAGUGGUUGCGCUUGCCGAUAGCCUCUAAACUAUCUAUAUUUUAGGCCUCUCUGAGUAAAAACAAAAAUAAGUUA